UACGGAGGGGGCUAGCGUUGUUCGGAAUUACUGGGCGUAAAGCGCACGUAGGCGGCUUUGUAAGUUAGAGGUGAAAGCCCGGGGCUCAACUCCGGAAUUGCCUUUAAGACUGCAUCGCUCGAAUUGUGGAGAGGUAAGUGGAAUUCCGAGUGUAGAGGUGAAAUUCGUAGAUAUUCGGAAGAACACCAGUGGCGAAGGCGAGUCCCUGGACAACUUCUGACGCUGAGGCACGAAAGCUAGGGGAGCAAACCAGGG
rnacentral:rRNA from 1 species